rnacentral:lncRNA from 1 species
AGGAGAGGACGCGGCCGCUGGGUGCUGCUGCGAGUCCCGGCAGCCGUGGGCAGGGCACCUGAAACCUCCCUGCAUCUGCUGGAGGACGUUUGUGGUGGAAACAGUGACCGCCUCAGCGGCCUCAGUCCCGAGUCGCAAGACAGCUGUGCUGGCACUAGAAGAGACUUGUAUCAGAACGAAUGGAUACAAGACAAGGAAACUUCAGCAGCAGGGCUGGGAGGACCAGAACUGUCAGGAUGCACUUAUACAUUGGGAAGGAGAAUGCGAUAGCUUCACUAAGCUUUGAAAAAGACUGUGUAUCUUGCAAUAAAUGCAACUUGGAAAACAGAAUCUAAAUUUCAAAGUCAGUGGAGUUGACGAAAUGUGAGAUAGAGCCACAUCUGUGUGGUUCAAACAGCUAACCUUACUAUAGUGCAACAACAGCCUCUUGGUGUGCUUAAUCUUACUUAAAACUCUCUUGUUCACUGCUUGGCUAGUUGCUAAUAAUAGACCUGCUUGGGAGAAAGGGUGCACCUUUCCUCAUGAUUAUGCUAGUCUUCUUUGAGGUCUGGAGCAUGAGAUUUAAGGUGCUAGUAUUAUGAUCUCUUUUCCUCCUCUUUUUUYUUCCCUCAGCUUCCAAAAUGCCCAAAAUAAAUCUUCUGAAGCAUCAAGCA